CCCACUUUCAGUUGCUGUUGAAUGACCGUGCUGACCUCCAAGCUGAGCUAUGGCAAGGCAGUGAACACAUCAGUGGUUUUGGACCAACCAGCUCUCCAGCUGCAUCACUGAAUCGGUGGAACUGCACAAACUACAAGUCUGCUGUGCCUCAUGCAUACUCCCGGCCGACCACAGUGCAAGAUUUAACUACUUAUAACAAGGGACAACAUGGCAUCCCCCACAUCCUU